UAUUUUCUCAAGAUAAGAAAAUAAUAUCGGUAAAGUUGUUAUUGAUAGUCAUUAAAAUGAAAAUUGGACGAAAAAGUGAGAAAAAGUGCAAGUUAGCUCAAAAUGGAAAUUUGAGCGUUUUUGGCCAAAAUUGCCAAAAUAAAUUGUUGGAGGGUGAUAUUAUAAGGUAUGAUACUAUUGUUAUUUAUUUGGGAAAUAAAUAAUACGGAAUUUAUCGAGAAUCGAAUGAUUAAAGGAUUAGUGGACUAAAUUGGACGAAAUAAAAGUUAUAAAGUGAAAGUUGAGGAGGUGACAAACUCAAGGACUAAAGGAGACUUUUGCCUCACCUAUUUAAGACACUUGCAUAUGAGUUUAAACUCAGCAAGCAUAUCAUUUUCAGCUCCUAAAAUUCGUCCUUCACCCUUUCUCCAUGGAAGAACAUCAAGCAAAUUUCAAAUGGUCAUAACUCACUCAAUUUUGAUCCGAAUUGAGCGAUUCUUGUGGCCACGGAACGAGGGAAGGAUCCUCUACUGAUAUAUAGUAUCAAUUUAAGGUUAUUGAAAGCUUGAAGGGACUAUUUUGAUGGUUGUUCAUGGAGGAAUUCAUUCAACCAAAGGGUUAUCCCAUCAAGAAAAGGGAUAGUAUGAUAUGAUUUGAAGAGUCAAGCUUCCGAAGUUUUAAUUCUCGGAAGUCAUUUGCACAAGAAGUGAAAGAAGGUUUUCAUUCUAGCGGUCCGCAGUAGUCUAGAUGUUUUUUUUCUAUGUAUUUGUCUAGCGCAUUUUAACUCUGAUAUUUUUGUAAAAUGGGGUCACAUGUAUUUUGAUAUAUGAAAAAUGAUUUGAUUUGCGAAAAAUUUACACA